rnacentral:rRNA from 1 species
GAUGAACGCUCGCGGCAGGCCUAACACAUGCAAGUCGAGGGAGAGGUUACCUUCGGGUAACCAAAACCGGCGCACGGGUGCGUAACGCGUAUACAAUCUGCCUUUCACAUAGGGAUAGCCCGAAGAAAUUUGGAUUAAUACCUAAUGGUAUAUAAGAGCGGCAUCGUUUUUAUAUUAAAGCUACGGUGGUGAAAGAUGAGUAUGCGUUCUAUUAGCUAGUUGGAGAGGUAACGGCUCCCCAAGGCGACGAUAGAUAGGGGUUCUGAGAGGGAUGUCCCCCACACUGGUACUGAGAUACGGACCAGACUCCUACGGGAGGCAGCAGUGAGGAAUAUUGGACAAUGGUCGGAAGACUGAUCCAGCCAUGCCGCGUGCAGGAUGAAGGUCCUAUGGAUUGUAAACUGCUUUUGUAAGGGAAGAAUAAGGAGUACGUGUACUUUGAUGACGGUACCUUACGAAUAAGCAUCGGCUAACUCCGUGC